rnacentral:rRNA from 1 species
GGCUUGGCUAGCCGGUCCGCCUCACCGCGUGUACUGGUUUGGCUGGGCCUUUCCCUCUGUGGAACCGCAUGCACUUCACUGGGUGUGCUGGGGAAACAGGACUUUUACUUUGAAAAAAUUAGAGUGCUCAAGGCAGGCCUAUGCUUGAAUAGAUUAGCAUGGAAUAAUAAAAUAGGACGUGUGGUUCUAUUUUGUUGGUUUCUAGGACCGCCGUA